rnacentral:rRNA from 1 species
GGCCGUUGGAGACCACAACGUUGAUAGGUGGGGUGUGUAAGCGUAGCGAUACGUUGAGCUAACCCAUACUAAUUACCCGUGAGGCUUAACCAUACAACACCCAAGAAGUGUUC